CUGUGAAAUCAUCAUCACCAUCUGUUACUUCAAUUGAGCAGAUGCUUUCGAUUUUGAUUUAGACAUUUUGCGUCAGCUGUUAAUGUUGCAGACGAGGGAGGAGCUACUCAUGUAGCUAUAAUUGUAACCAAGAACUAGUGAAGCUUCCGGUAAUUUGUUUAUUCGCCAAUUCAUAUCUCGUCAUUUUAGUUUCAACUGUUAGCUCUUAUAGUCAUAUCUUGUCAUUUUAACCUCAGUUGUUUGAUAAACCAUUUUGACCAUCAGGCUAUGUUUAAGCAAUCUACAAAGAUUAGGUUUAUUAAGAAAGAAUUGUAAUUUCGCAAUGCUGUAUAGAUAAUACUUCAGCCGGCAUUGUUGUAGCUCAAGUAAAAUAAAUUUAUAGAGCUACAAUAAUAGUCUAGUGCAAUCCAAAUCAGAUUCUGAAUCUGAUGCUUCUGAUGGUGCCUCUAGCGUCCAAAUUCAAGUGACCGGGUCUGGACACGGACAAAGCUUAUCAGAGGCAAGUAUUUGUUCUUUUGUACAUAUGCCUUUUGAAAUUGUCUAUUUUUGUGAUUUUGUAGAGUUCCAUGAAGAUAUACGUGGAAAAUGUAGUUUAUAUAUUAUAUCUAGUAAUUGCUUUCUGGGAUCAUAACUUUUCUUGAUUGAUGUUGCUUCUCUUUGAUUAGAUGAUGAAGUUACUCACAUUUCAGACUAUAAUAUUCUAAAAAUGAUAAUAGGAGCUAUUAAGAGCAUCUAUUUAAAUAAUCAUUUAAGCACAAUGUAUAACGAUUUUUGAACCUUUGUUUUAACUUUUCACUUCUGACCUCAGUGUGCAUACCUUUGUUUCAACUUUUCACUUCCCACCUCAAUGUGCAUUCCAUCAAAUUAACCAUCAGCCACUUUCUUUGCUGAAUGUAGAAUGUACAUGAAUUUUCAGUUUGUGAUUUUGUAGCAGUUGGACACAUGCAUGUUAACAAACAUCUACGUAAAAGUUC